rnacentral:rRNA from 1 species
GUGGGGAAUAUUGGACAAUGGGCGCAAGCCUGAUCCAGCCAUGCCGCGUGAGUGAUGAAGGCCUUAGGGUUGUAAAGCUCUUUCAGUGGGGACGAUAAUGACGGUACCCACAGAAGAAGCCCCGGCUAACUUCGUGCCAGCAGCCGCGGUAAUACGAAGGGGGCUAGCGUUGUUCGGAUUUACUGGGCGUAAAGCGCACGUAGGCGGAUCGUUAAGUCGGGGGUGAAAUCCUGGAUCUCAACUCCAGAACUGCCUUCGAUACGUGCGAUCUUGAGUCCGGAAUAGGUGAGUGGAACUCCUAGUGUAGAGGUGGAAUUCGUAGAUAUUAGGAAGAACACCAGUGGCGAAGGCGGCUCACUGGUCCGGUACUGACGCUGAGGUGCGAAAGCGUGGGGAGCAAACAGGAUUAGAUACCCGGGUAGUCC